AUGGGGUGCAGCAGGCGCGAAACCUCUGCAAUGCGGGCAACCGCGACGGGGGGACCCCCAGUGCCGUGGCAUCGCCACGGCUUUUCCGGAGUGUAAAAAGCUCCGGGAAUAAGGGCUGGGCAAGGCCGGUGGCAGCCGCCGCGGUAAUACCGGCGGCCCGAGUGGUGGCCGCUAUUAUUGGGCCUAAAGCGUCCGUAGCCGGGCCCGUAAGUCCCUGGCGAAAUCCCACGGCUCAACCGUGGGGCUUGCUGGGGAUACUGCGGGCCUUGGGACCGGGAGAGGCCGGGGGUACCCCCGGGGUAGGGGUGAAAUCCUAUAAUCCCAGGGGGACCGCCAGUGGCGAAGGCGCCCGGCUGGAACGGGUCCGACGGUGAGGGACGAAGGCCAGGGGAGCGAACCGGAUUAGAUACCCGGGUAGUCCUGGCUGUAAAGGAUGCGGGCUAGGUGUCGGGCGAGCUUCGAGCUCGCCCGGUGCCGAAGGGAAGCCGUUGAGCCCGCCGCCUGGGGAGUACGGCCGCAAGGCUGAAACUUAAAGGAAUUGGCGGGGGAGCAC
rnacentral:rRNA from 1 species